rnacentral:rRNA from 1 species
GGAAUAUUGCGCAAUGGCCGAAAGGCUGACGCAGCGACGCCGCGUGUGGGAUGACGCCCUUCGGGGUGUAAACCACUGUCAGAAGGGAAGAAACUCGAGCUUUCAAACAGGGAGCGCGAUUGACGGUACCUUCAGAGGAAGCACCGGCUAACUCCGUUCCAGCAGCCGCGGUAAGACGGAGGGUGCAAGCGUUGUUCGGAAUUACUGGGCGUAAAGCGCGCGCAGGCGGUUUUCUAAGUCCUUUGUGAAAUCCCGGGGCUCAACUCCGGUUGUGCAGAGGAUACUGGAAGACUAGAGACCAGUAGAGGCUAGCGGAAUUCCUGGUGUAGCGGUGGAAUGCGUAGAUAUCAGGAGGAACAUCAGUGGCGAAGGCGGCUAGCUGGGCUGGGUCUGACGCUCAUGUGCGAAAGCGUGGGGAGCAAAC